rnacentral:rRNA from 1 species
CAGCAGUGGGGAAUAUUGCACAAUGGGGGAAACCCUGAUGCAGCGACGCCGCGUGAAGGAAGAAGUAUCUCGGUAUGUAAACUUCUAUCAGCAGGGAAGAUAGUGACGGUACCUGACUAAGAAGCCCCGGCUAACUACGUGCCAGCAGCCGCGGUAAUACGUAGGGGGCAAGCGUUAUCCGGAUUUACUGGGUGUAAAGGGAGCGUAGACGGUGUGGCAAGUCUGAUGUGAAAGGCAUGGGCUCAACCUGUGGACUGCAUUGGAAACUGUCAUACUUGAGUGCCGGAGGGGUAAGCGGAAUUCCUAGUGUAGCGGUGAAAUGCGUAGAUAUUAGGAGGAACACCAGUGGCGAAGGCGGCUUACUGGACGGUAACUGACGUUGAGGCUCGAAAGCGUGGGGAGCAAACAGGAUUAGA